rnacentral:rRNA from 1 species
GGACUACUGGGGUAUCUAAUCCUGUUUGAUCCCCACGCUGUCGCGCCUGAGCGUCAGUAACGGUCCAGUGAGCCGCCUUCGCCACCGGUGUUCUUCCCAAUAUCUACGAAUUUCACCUCUACACUGGGAAUUCCACUCACCUCUACCGUACUCCAGCCUUGCAGUUUCAAAGGCAGUUCCAGAGUUGAGCUCUGGGCUUUCACCCCUGACUUGAAAGGCCGCCUGCGCGCGCUUUACGCCCAGUAAUUCCGAACAACGCUAGCCCCCUUCGUAUUACCGCGGCUGCUGGCAC